rnacentral:sRNA from 1 species
GAUUUGACGAAUUAAUUGUAAAUUUAGUAAAACCAAAAAAAAA